rnacentral:ncRNA from 1 species
CUGGGACUGAGACACGGCCCAGACUCCUACGGGAGGCAGCAGUAGGGAAUCUUCCGCAAUGGACGAAAGUCUGACGGAGCAACGCCGCGUGAGUGAUGAAGGUUUUCGGAUCGUAAAGCUCUGUUGUUAGGGAAGAACAAGUGCAAGAGUAACUGCUUGCACCUUGACGGUACCUAACCAGAAAGCCACGGCUAACUACGUGCCAGCAGCCGCGGUAAUACGUAGGUGGCAAGCGUUGUCCGGAAUUAUUGGGCGUAAAGGGCUCGCAGGCGGUUUCUUAAGUCUGAUGUGAAAGCCCCCGGCUCAACCGGGGAGGGUCAUUGGAAACUGGGAAACUUGAGUGCAGAAGAGGAG